GCCAUCAGCCAGAAGUUCAUUAUCGAUGUUGGCUAGGAAAGAUUCCCAGGCCCUGAAAUUUUCUCUCACCCAGAGAUAUUGAUUUACAUGCCAAGUAUAAUGCCUGGCCCAGGAAGCUUGGGAGAUGAAUAAAAUAACUUGACCAUGAAGGAGCACUGAGGAGGAGGCAGAGAUAAUCUCUGCCAUGGGUAUUAUAAUAGGUGUACUACAAGGCUCAGAGGCAGUACAGAGAAAGAAAUGAGGAGCUCUUGAAACUGGUGGGCAGAGGGCAAGGGUUUAGAAUGGUCUUUAAGAAUAGGUAUAUUUGAACUGACUCUUAAAAGAUGGGCAGGUGUUUGACAAGACAAUGUGAACACCACUGAUAGAGGGGAGUGAAACCACCUGGAAACCUUCCUCUGUGCACUGCAAACAGUAUGAGAUGGUUGGUGCAUGGCACAGGACUGUGCACAUUGUGUCCAUGUUGUGUGCACUGAUGAUUUAGAAAUGACAGAGGGGCAAGAGAUGAAGCUGGAGAGUUGCAGAAGCACACAGAGGAAGACUGUCUUACAUGGCUUUCCAAGGCAUUUGGACAUGAUCCUGUGGCAAAGCAAGUCAUUACAUGAUUAUUAAACUAAGCAGUAUUGGUGUGGAA